rnacentral:rRNA from 1 species
UACGAAGGGGGGCUAGCGUUGUUCGGAAUUACUGGGCGUAAAGCGUGCGCAGGCGGCUUCUCAAGUCAGGGGUGAAAGCCCAGAGCUCAACUCUGGAAUUGCCUUUGAGACUGAGUGGCUUGAGUACGAGAGAGGUGAGUGGAAUUCCCAGUGUAGAGGUGAAAUGUGUAGAGAUCGGGAGGAACACCGGUGGCGAAGGCGGGUCUCUGGGCAAUUCCUGACGCUGAGGCGCGAAAGCGUGGGGAGCAAACGGG